ACGUAGCCCAGGUGGUAGGGCGUGUGUGUGGUGAUCCGGGGGUCAUGGGUUCGAUUCCUGGU
rnacentral:tRNA from 1 species